rnacentral:rRNA from 1 species
AGCAACGCCGCGUGAGUGAAGAAGGUUUUCGGAUCGUAAAGCUCUGUUGUAAGAGAAGAACGUGUGUGAGAGUGGAAAGUUCACACAGUGACGGUAACUUACCAAAAAGGGACGGCUAACUACGUGCCAGCAGCCGCGGUAAUACGUAGGUCCCGAGCGUUGUCCGGAUUUAUUGGGCGUAAAGCGAGCGCAGGCGGUUUAAUAAUUCUGAAGUUAAAGGCUGUGGCUUAACCAUUGUUCGCUUUGGAAACUGUUAAACUUGAGUGCAGAAGGGGAGAGUGGAAUUCCAUGUGUAGCGGUGAAAUGCGUAGAUAUAUGGAGGAA